CUAGUCGGGUUUCAAUUUUUCCGUGUGCAGUCGCUAUUUGGUGUCGCACGUUCCUGUUGGUUACCGAUUGUUUAGUUAAAGAAUUUUUUGUUUUCUUCAGUCUAAAUUUAAAUUAAUUGAAUAAUCUAUUGGAUUAAAAAUAAUAAAAAAAGUAUUAGUACGGGCUCUCCUUCAUAGAAUUGUAAUAAAAAAUAAAAAAAAAAAAUUCUGCUAUUUAAGGGAGUGCAAGAAAAUUCGGCUCUUGUAAAACAAAAGAGCUAAGCAGAGUCAAAUGUAUCAAGUUAGUGUGUGUUUGUGUCGCGCAAGAGUCCUAUCUGUUCCUGUCCUUAGUGUCACGUGUUGCCUAUGGUUAUAACCGGUAAUUCACUAGUGUAUUUAGUUAAAGAAUUUGUUUCUUUGUUUAAAAUAAAGAUUUAAAAAAUAAUUUAUUGCAUUUAAUAUAAUAAAAAGUCUUUUAUGCGGGUUUUUACUUUAAAAAUUAUAGUAAAAGAUAUUUAAAAAAAAUAACUAUUCAUAAGAAUUCAAGAAAAAGUUGGCUUUCUUAUACGUCAAAGUGUAUCAAAAAAGCUUAGCCUCACAAAAUACAUCAAAGAUGGCGAGUUGGGAAGACAAAGAUAUUUACGCUAUCGUUGAAUUCGCAGUAAGUAAUAGUGAUAAAAAAGAUAUCGAUCUUGUACCGAGCAAGUAAAUUACAGAGGAAAGUGAUGGAUCCUUCUGUCAAUAUCCGCAUCCUAAUGAUUAUCAUAAACUCGAAAAAUACGUGCCAGAAUUACGUGAUGCAAAGAAGAGUUGGGCAAAGUACGCAAUCAAAAUUUUGUCUUAUGCAGAUAAUCACUCUUACGGUCAAAGACGUUUAAAUCGAGCGUAUAUAACAGUAAAUUUAAAAAGUACUGAUGAUGAAAGUAAUCAGCAUCAGAUUGUAGCUACGGAGCCAAAAAUACUCUCGAAGAAAGCAGUGAAUUUAGAUUUAGGUACAAUAUUACGUAUGGAAACAGACCAAGAUCGUCCUCUCUCGUCUUCCAAUAAAAAACAAUUUUUAACGAGAACAAUAAUCCUUCAAGGACUUUUUAGACGGGAAACUAAAUAAUGUAGUAGCUUCAAUUCAACGCAAUCUAAGUAGUGAGAAAAAAAGUCUGCAGUAUGAUAUGAAACGAUACUUUGGAGAGCUGAAAAAUACACUGUUGGCUAAUAAUCUACCUUCAGUUCCUCAGCUAAGUGUAUCUGUUGCAACCACGAAAUUAGGUGUCAAGCUACCUAUAGAAAACCUGGAAGAUUUUUAAAAAUUUGAUGCAGAUAUAAAAAUUUCAGAUUCAUCAAAACAGGCUUUGCUUGUACUUCUUCGUGUUUGGAUUUAUGGACAGAUGACUGCUAAGGGAUGUAUAAGCAAAAUGGCAUCUACUUUAUUGACAAAAAAUGUCGAAAAACACUAUUCCGGCACUGGAAAAAUUAGCAAAGGCACUGGAAAAUUAAAUUUCAGUGCUACUGAGACCUUCAUAUGCAUGAAAGAUGUGGUAACAGAAAAAUUUGGUGAUUCGGAGGAAUGUAAAAAUUUUGCGGGAAAAGUGGGCAAAUGGUUGUCCGGGUGCCGGGACAGAGAUCAUGGACGAAGAGAAUGAUCUCAAUCUUUGUAAUAACAAAAAAAAAAAAUUUAUUCUUAACU